rnacentral:rRNA from 1 species
GACGAACGCUGGCGGCGUGCCUAAUACAUGCAAGUAGAACGCUGAAGGAGGAGCUUGCUUCUCUGGAUGAGUUGCGAACGGGUGAGUAACGCGUAGGUAACCUGCCUGGUAGCGGGGGAUAACUAUUGGAAACGAUAGCUAAUACCGCAUAAUAGUAGAUGUUGCAUGACACUUGCUUAAAAGGUGCAAUUGCAUCACUACCAGAUGGACCUGCGUUGUAUUAGCUAGUUGGUGAGGUAACGGCUCACCAAGGCGACGAUACAUAGCCGACCUGAGAGGGUGAUCGGCCACACUGGGACUGAGACACGGCCCAGACUCCUACGGGAGGCAGCAGUAGGGAAUCUUCGGCAAUGGACGGAAGUCUGACCGAGCAACGCCGCGUGAGUGAAGAAGGUUUUCGGAUCGUAAAGCUCUGUUGUAAGAGAAGAACGAGUGUGAGAGUGGAAAGUUCACACUGUGACGGUAUCUUACCAGAAAGGGACGGCUAACUACGUG